ACAAGGGAUUUUUUUAAAUCCACAUAAAAACUAAAAUAAAACAAA
rfam:Gossypium hirsutum cultivar TM-1 chromosome 8, whole genome shotgun sequence